GCNGNNGCCUAACACAUGCAAGUCGAGCGGAGACGAGUUAACUGAACCUUCGGGGAACGUUAACGGCGUCGAGCGGCGGACGGGUGAGUAAUGCCUGGGAAAUUGCCCUGAUGUGGGGGAUAACCAUUGGAAACGAUGGCUAAUACCGCAUGAUAGCUUCGGCUCAAAGAGGGGGACCUUCGGGCCUCUCGCGUCAGGAUAUGCCCAGGUGGGAUUAGCUAGUUGGUGAGGUAAUGGCUCACCAAGGCGACGAUCCCUAGCUGGUCUGAGAGGAUGAUCAGCCACACUGGAACUGAGACACGGUCCAGACUCCUACGGGAGGCAGCAGUGGGGAAUAUUGCACAAUGGGCGCAAGCCUGAUGCAGCCAUGCCGCGUGUAUGAAGAAGGCCUUCGGGUUGUAAAGUACUUUCAGCAGUGAGGAAGGUGGGUAUGUUAAUAGCAUAUUCAUUUGACGUUAGCUGCAGAAGAAGCACCGGCUAACUCCGUGCCAGCAGCCGCGGUAAUACGGAGGGUGCGAGCGUUAAUCGGAAUUACUGGGCGUAAAGCGCAUGCAGGUGGUUUGUUAAGUCAGAUGUGAAAGCCCGGGGCUCAACCUCGGAAUUGCAUUUGAAACUGGCAAACUAGAGUACUGUAGAGGGGGGUAGAAUUUCAGGUGUAGCGGUGAAAUGCGUAGAGAUCUGAAGGAAUACCGGUGGCGAAGGCGGCCCCCUGGACAGAUACUGACACUCAGAUGCGAAAAGCGUGGGGAGCAAACAGGAUUAGAUACCCUGGUAGUCCCACGCCGUUAACGUAUGUCCUACUUGGAGGUUUGUGGCCUUUGAGCCGUG
rnacentral:rRNA from 1 species